rnacentral:lncRNA from 1 species
UCGGUGAUAGGCUCUGUGUACCGGCAGAUUCUGGUAUUAAAGAAGAAAUUCUUGCAGAAGCACAUCGGGCACCGUAUACUGUACACCCUGGGAGUACAAAAAUGUAUAAAGAUUUAAAGUUAACUUACUGGUGGCCUGGAAUGAAAAAGGAAGUUGCGGACUAUGUGGCUAAGUGCUUAACGUGUCAGCAAGUUAAAGCUGAACAUCGACUUCCUGCGGGGAAACUUCAGAGCUUACCCAUACCAGUGUGGAAGUGGGAGAGGAUCACUAUGGAUUUCAUCGUUGGAUUACCUCGCUCACAAGCAGGUCACGAUGCAAUUUGGGUAAUUGUUGAUCGAUUGACUAAAUCUGCCCACUUUAUUCCAAUCCACACGACUUGGUCAGGAGAGAAACUCGCACAAGUGUACCUUGAUGAAAUUGUGCGAUUACAUGGAGUACCCGCCUCUAUUGUUUCUGACCGAGACACCCGAUUCGUUUCACAUUUUUGGAGGAGCUUACAGGAGGCCAUGGGCACCCGACUGGAUUUUAGUACUGCUUUCCACCCCCAGAGUGAUGGGCAGUCUGAGCGUACCAUCCAGACCCUUGAAGAUAUGUUGAGGGCCUGUGUGAUUGAUUACCAGGGCAGUUGGCCACAAUUCUUACCGAUGGCGGAAUUUGCCUAUAAUAACAGCUAUCACGCAAGUAUUCAAAUGGCACCGUUUGAAGCCCUUUAUGGCAGAAAGUGCAGAUCACCCCUUCAUUGGAGCGAAGUGGGAGAAAGGUUAGUUUUGGGUCCAGAUGUACUACAAGAGGCUGAAGUUAAAGUUCGACUUGCGCGAGAACGUCUACUGACAGCUCAAAGUCGACAAAAGAGUUAUGCGGAUAAUCGUCGGCGAGAAUUGGAAUUUCAAGUUGGCGAUCAUGUAUUCCUAAAGGUUUCCCCGACGAAAGGAGUUAAGAGAUUUGGCAUUCGAGGAAAAUUGAGCCCUCGAUUUAUUGGACCCUACGAGGUGUUGGAGCGGAUAGGUCCCGUAGCGUAUCGACUUGCGUUGCCGCCGAAUCUUUCGGGAGUACACAAUGUGUUUCACAUAUCUACGCUUCGGAAAUAUGUUUUUGAUCCAACUCACAUAUUGGAGAGUACUCCAGUGGAUUUACAAGAGGAUUUGAGUUUUGAGGAACAUCCAGUGAGAAUCCUAGCACGGGAAGUAAAACGGCUUCGAAAUCGCGAGAUACCCUACGUGAAAAUCCUUUGGAGUAAUCACGAGGAGCGAGAAGCCACUUGGGAACUGGAGAGUGUAAUGUUAGAGCAUUAUCCCUACCUUUUCUUGACGAAAUCGUGACGUACAUGAUUACAAGUUUCGCGGACGAAACUUCUUUUUAGGAGGGGUGAAUGUAAUACACUGAACUUUUGCAAUUUGCGGAGUUCGAGUAUGUGGAAUGGUGUGUGGAUCACUCCUACAUGUUUUAAAAGGUUAGAACAAGUUUUUGGAUAAGUUAGAGGAUGAUUGGAAUGCUAAAAAUAAGAAAGUGCAUUGAACUGGCGAAAAUCAGCCUUUUCUGCUUGCUGUACCGGUACAGCCGCAAUGGUGUACCGGUACACAGUGGCAAUUCGUGGCAGCUUGGGUAUUUUGGUAAUUUCACAUGCUUAUCCCUAUCUUAUGGACCCAGCUCGACCCCAGGAGCUUUGUGGAUGUUGCUGGAGUGCAGAGAAGUGUUCUACCAUCUCUCUCUCUUUCUCUCUCUAGGGUUUUUCUCUCUCUACAAAGGAUUCGACGAUUUCGCUCGUUUUCGUCGCUUCGCGCGUUCUUCGCUGGUUGCGAGUGUCGCAGCACCUUUGUGCACGUGCAAGAGAGCGUUUUGGAGGGAUUUUCGCAGCCCUGGACCAGUGAGGUGCUGGUUGGAAGCUUGAGAAGGUAAACGACUUGAUUUUUCCGUUAUCGACGUUCUAUUCGUCGAUUUGAGUAGCGAUUUCAGAUUUUUGCUCUUGGCUGUUCUAAACUGAGAAUUCAGCUAUUAUUAAUGAGUUAAUUAGCUGUGAAUUAACCUUCUUAGACCUGGGAUAGGCUACUUUGAAGCUUAAUUGGAAUAUUUAGCCCUUUAUGAAGCUAAAAUCGGAACUUAAUGCACUAAGUUGUGCGAAUUGAUGCAAAGUGGGAUUUUUUCUUCACAGCAGGUCUUCGAGCCUCGUUGAGCUGAACUUGUAUCCUUAGAAGCUGGUCUGGAAGGUAUUCUAACCUGAGGUAAGCAGGGAUUUCAGUUAGAAAACUGAAUUCGCAAGAUUUCGACUAUAUUUGCUAAAAUACGAUGAUUUUGAUGUCGUCUCGAAAUUGUUCGCAGCGAGAGGGUGUUUGACCCUUGGACCGCCUUCGUCUGGUCUUGGAGGACCUUCUGGAAGCUUAACGUGAGGUAUUGAACUAAGCCAAACAGGGAUUUAAGCUAUUCCAAUGUACGAAGUGUAAUUGCGCCGAAAUUGGCCUUUCGAUCGUAAUUUUGAUACGAUAUGUAUGCUUCGUGUUCAGCAGGAUUGCGACCUAGUGGAGCUGAUCCUUGGAACUCCUUGGACUAUUUUGGAGCCUAGUACUAGGUGGGUCGGACCUAACCAGAGCAAGUGAAACUCCUCUAUGUUCUAUAUGUAUUAUAGAAAUGGCUUUAUUGUGUGCUUAUGCGAUUAUUAAAGGGCUCGGAACUCGUCAUCACGACGUUUAUCAUAUGUGAAUGAGCGUUUAUGCAUAAAAGUACUCAUGCAUUCAAGUAUUUUUGUUUUGUUCAGUAGAACAACUAAGAAUUCAGUUUAUUAUGUUUCUAUGAUAUAGAGAACAUAUAUACAUGAAAGUAUUCACAUUUAUAUUCAAUUCAGUUGAAUGUCUUUUGAACAAGUGUAGGAUACACUUUAAAGUAGAGAACAAUGACAUUCUCUUGACUCGAACGUAGAGAACUAUGACAUGCUCUGGACUAUGUUGAUAGUGCCAUACUAGUGAAAAGAUUAUAAUGCUAUGUGAUUUAGCUUUACCCUUACAUGUUUACAAUCUAGUGAUUACUAGCUCUUGUUACUAUUGUGUAUUGAAAUUCCGAUCAGAGGAUCGAGGGUAAGAACUUUGCAAUGAAAUUAUGAAAAUUGUGACAUGUGGAUAUUGGAUAUUGUUUGCUUGCCAUCGUGCUCAUUCGCACACGCUUGUGAGGGUAGCUCCCUACAAGCCGGCACUCCGGAGUUGGCCUAUGCGACAGUUGCUCGCCCGUGCGGGAUUGGGUGCCGAAGUGGAUUGCCGUGGGGAGUGUAUACUACCACGGGGCCAUUAGGCGCGGCGCAAGCUGGACUACCUUGGGUAGGUCCCUGUGAAUGAAAGGAAAGUACUAAAUGAAAAAGGACAGUAAUGAAUGUUUAUUACUUAAAGUGUACAGUAGUCACUUUUAUAUUCGUGCUUAUACUCAUGUCUAUGUUCAUGAUUACAGAAGUUGCUAUAUCUCUUUUAUGCAAAUGGUUCAUUACUGUAGAAAGCUAUUACAUGAUGAUUACAUGCUUAUUACUUAUUAGCAACAUGCUUAUAAAUCAUGCAAUUAUUGUUAUUGCUUUCAUUUAGUACAUCUUGAGCCUAGUGGUGUAAUUCGCCGAGGCUGGCGGCUUACCCACUGGGAACUAUUGUUAAUAGUUCUCACGCCCUUUUGGUGGUUGUUUUUACAGAGCCUGUUACAGGAGAGGCUAGGGAUCGUGGCAAGGGAGUCGCGCCUAGCUAGGGACUACUAGGAGCGUGCUAGUCGAUCACCUUGCUACUCGGGCUACGGCCGAGGGUGAUGUCCCUAUGUAUAGAGAGACCACCGUUGUACCUAUUCUUUUUGUAUACCCAUGAUGUAUAUUUUACUUUUAGGGUUGAGAUUAGUGGGGUUACUUCUCCUUUUGUUGAGAUCUUGGAUUGUAUACUCUUUGUAUUUUGACUUGGAUUUGAUACUCGUUGUAUAUCGACUUGUACUUUGCUCUGAUAUCAGGAUAGGACUUCUUGUUUUACUUCCUAUCGACUUGCUUCUUGUAGACGCCUUAUAUACUGCAGGUGUAUGGCGGGUCUGUGCACGUGCCGGAUAUGCUUCCGCUGGUAUCCGGGCGUGACAGAUUAUAGUGGUAUCAGAGCCUAGGGUUGAGUCUUAGUAGACCUAGCAAACCUUAGGCUGGUUGGACUAUAAGAAUAGGCACGUGAGAGACGAUGUCUAGUCUAGGUUGUUGUUAGCGAAAGUGCUUUGAUUGGGUACUUAUAAACUCCGAAUAGUAGGAGUUUGACUGGGAUGUGCAAGUACUAACUUUGCAGAGGGUCACGUUGGCGGCCGACAACGUGACAUCGGAAGUUAGUACGCGUUACAUUUCAUUACUUUCGCUUGAUUAGCCGGUUUAUAUUCUUAAUGAGGAUUCAAUAGUAUAGGGUUUAUUGACCUAUGUUUGUUUUUGUAUUGCAGUUCAAGAUGCCUACGACUCGUUCUGGAACCGCCGGGGCGGCUGAGGCAGCCGCUGCGGAAGAAGUUGAGACUUCCGUCACUUCGGGGUCCAGUGAGCUCCAUGAGUUGCAGGAUCAGCUUGCGACAUUGACAGAGUUGGUUACUCAGCAGGCUGCGGCAGCACGACAGCAGAUGGACGCUGCGCGUCGGCAGGAGGACAGGAUGAAGAGGUUAGAGGAUCUGUUACUGCGGCAGACGACCGACAGAGGGAUUCCAGAUUCUGUACCUAUAGCACCAGAGAGGGGCACCACAGUGAGAGUACAGUCACCGGUACCCGACACACCCCCAGUAGCUCCGAGGGUAGAGACCCGACAGGAGACAGUAGUACCACCAUCAGUACCUGUAGCAGCAUCAGGGACUGUGUUACCCGAGAUGGUCGGGGUUGAGGAGCGGGAGCGGAUGAUGGAACGACUGAAUGAAUUCCGUCGCUGCAACCCUCAUGUCUUUGAUGGAGAGAAGGCAGAUCAUUGGGUAGUUGAGAAAUGGUUAAUGCACAUGGAGAAGUUAUUCUAUGACACCUUUGUUGAGGAGCAGUAUCGAGUCUGGUUUGCGACACACCACCUUGAUGGUGAGGCUUACAGGUGGUGGGUGGACAUUCGCGAGGAUCCCCGUGCUGAUUUGUUUGCUAUUACGUGGAACAGAUUCAAGGAACUGUUGUUGACUACUUACUUUCCCCAGAGUGUAAAGAGACAAAUGGAAAGGGAUCUGAGAAACCUGAGACAAGGGGACAGGACAGUGGCAGAGUAUGAGCGAGAGUUCUCUCGAUUACUGCACUGUGUUCCUUUUGUAGUUCGAGAUGAUGAGGACAAGGCUCGCAUAUUUGAGGUGGGUUUGCGACCUGCGAUCUUCAGAUUGGUCCAGGCGUCAAACCUCUCCACUUACCGGGAUGUCGUGAACCGGGCUUUGAUUGUUGAGAAGGGGGCAGAAAUCAUGAAGGAAAGAGAUGUUGUGGAUCGAAGCAAGGGAAAGAGACCAGCAGCUGAGAGCAGUGGUCAGCAGUCCUUCCGGAGACCGCCAAAGUAUCCGAGGAACCAGACGGGCCAGACAGGACAGUCGAGGGGUCGAGGUUCUUCAGCACCCCGUGGAGCACCCGAGCGUCGUCGACCACCGCGUUGUGUUAUCUGUGGUGGGCCUCACGUACCGCCACAGUGUCCACAGCGUGGGGGCCGGUGCUUUCUUUGCGGCCAGGAGGGGCACUUUCGUUCAGAGUGCCCGAGAGGUUCUUUGCCCGCACCCUCGUUAGCGACUACACCUGCAUCGUCAGCUCCGAGCCAGGGGACCCCGACAGCGCCUUAUCAGUCUAGGCGACCACCAGGACAGCGGCAGUCGGAGAGUUCACAGCAGGGUUCGAGUGGGCGGAUGUAUGCCGCCCAGACUGAGGGCGCCACAGCAGCACAGGAGGUCGUAGCAGGUAUUAUUAUGCUUUAUGAUAUUCGUGUUCGUGCAUUAUUUGAUACUGGUGCUUCGCAUUCUUUUAUUGAUCGGCAGUUUGCCGAGUUGCAUAGCAUUUCUUUAGCACCUACUUUGUAUCUGGGACGAGUAAUUGUACCUGACCAUACCCUAGAUGUUCGUGAGUUUUGCCCUCGCUGCCCAGUUAGGGUAGGCGACUGGAUUAUGCCAGUAGAUUUACUAGCACUACACAAACUAGGUGAGUUUGAUGUAGUAUUGGGUAUGGAUUGGUUGACACAGUAUUAUGCUACUAUAGAUUGCACGAACAGAACGGUGACCUUUAGAGAACCGGGUCAACAGGAGUUUGUUUAUAAGGGAUGUCAGAGUUCAUUGUUCGCAUUGACCAUUAGCUCUUCGCGAGCACGACAGUUAAUUCGGAGGGGAUGUGUAGCCUAUUUGGCUAGCAUUUCUGUGAGUGGUGGUGAAGCCAUCAAGAUUGAUGAUAUUCCAGUUGUGCGAGAAUUCGGGGAUGUGUUUCCAGCUGAAUUGCCGGGCAUGCCACCUAAUAGGGAAGUUGAAUUUGUGAUUGAUCUUGUCCCUGGGACUACCCCUAUUUCUAAAGCGCCUUAUAGAAUGGCACCCGCCGAAUUGAAAGAGCUGAAGGCACAGUUACAAGAUCUUUUAGAUAAAGGAUUUAUUCGACCGAGUGUAUCGCCUUGGGGAGCGCCGGUGUUGUUUGUCAAGAAGAAAGAUGGAUCUCUUCGAUUGUGCGUGGAUUAUCGAGAAAUCAACAAGGUCACAAUCAAGAACAAAUAUCCAUUGCCUAGAAUUGAUGACUUAUUUGAUCAGCUGCAAGGAUCGAAGGUGUAUUCCAAGAUUGAUUUGCAAUCUGGUUACCAUCAGCUUAAGAUCAAGCCUGAAGAUGUUUCUAAAACUGCUUUUAGAACACGGUAUGGGCAUUAUGAAUUUACAGUCAUGCCAUUUGGAUUGACUAAUGCGCCAGCAGCCUUUAUGGAUUUAAUGAACCGUGUCUUUAAGCCCUAUUUGGAUAGAUUCGUGGUAGUGUUUAUCGAUGACAUCUUGAUCUAUUCUCGAAGUGACGAGGAACACGAAGAUCAUUUGAGAGUGGUGUUGCAAGUACUCCGAGAAAAGAAACUGUUUGCAAAGCUCAAGAAAUGCGAAUUUUGGCUUCGAAAAGUGGCAUUUCUGGGACAUGUAAUUUCGGAAACUGGGAUAGCUGUGGAUCCACAGAAGAUUGAAGCGAUUAAAGAUUGGCCUAGGCCGACUAGUGUCACAGAGAUUCGGAGUUUCCUUGGAUUGGCGGGAUACUACCGAAGAUUUGUAGAGGGAUUUGCAAAGAUGUCUACUCCUCUCACUCGACUUACACAUAAAGGAGCUAAGUUUCUGUGGAAUGAAGCCUGUGAAAGAAGCUUUCAGGAGCUAAAGGAACGAUUGACUACCGCCCCGAUCUUGGCGCUACCUGUUACCGGAGUGGAUUAUGUGAUUUACAGCGAUGCGUCGCUGAAUGGACUAGGGUGUGUUCUAAUGCAGAAUGGCAGAGUAAUUGCUUAUGCUUCUCGCCAAUUGAAAGAUUAUGAAAAGAACUACCCUACACAUGAUCUUGAGUUAGCAGCUGUAAUAUUUGCUUUAAAGCUUUGGCGCCACUACCUCUACGGUGAGCGUUGCGAGGUUUACACAGAUCAUAAGAGCUUAAAGUAUCUGUUUACUCAGAAAGAAUUAAACUUGCGACAACGUAGAUGGUUAGAGUUGCUCAAGGAUUAUGAUUUGACCAUCCUCUAUCAUCCUGGAAAAGCUAAUGUUGUAGCAGAUGCUCUAAGUCGAAAAUCGACGAAAAAUGUGGCGAUGUCGAUAACAAUGCAACCAUUGUUGGUAAAGGAAAUGGAGCAAUUGAAUUUGGAAGUUGUAGCUCCUGACACACCUUGGAGACUCAUGUCGUUGGUGGUGCAGCCUACCCUGAUCGAUCGAAUUAAAAAAAAACAAAUUCAAGAUGAAUUCUUGCAGAAGAUUCGAGAUAAGAUCACUGUUGAGCAUGAUAGUGAGUUUCACGUUGAUGAUCGGGGAUUAUUAAAGUUCGGUGAUAGGCUCUGUGUACCGGCAGAUUCUGGUAUUAAAGAAGAAAUUCUUGCAGAAGCACAUCGGGCACCGUAUACUGUACACCCUGGGAGUACAAAAAUGUAUAAAGAUUUAAAGUUAACUUACUGGUGGCCUGGAAUGAAAAAGGAAGUUGCGGACUAUGUGGCUAAGUGCUUAACGUGUCAGCAAGUUAAAGCUGAACAUCGACUUCCUGCGGGGAAACUUCAGAGCUUACCCAUACCAGUGUGGAAGUGGGAGAGGAUCACUAUGGAUUUCAUCGUUGGAUUACCUCGCUCACAAGCAGGUCACGAUGCAAUUUGGGUAAUUGUUGAUCGAUUGACUAAAUCUGCCCACUUUAUUCCAAUCCACACGACUUGGUCAGGAGAGAAACUCGCACAAGUGUACCUUGAUGAAAUUGUGCGAUUACAUGGAGUACCCGCCUCUAUUGUUUCUGACCGAGACACCCGAUUCGUUUCACAUUUUUGGAGGAGCUUACAGGAGGCCAUGGGCACCCGACUGGAUUUUAGUACUGCUUUCCACCCCCAGAGUGAUGGGCAGUCUGAGCGUACCAUCCAGACCCUUGAAGAUAUGUUGAGGGCCUGUGUGAUUGAUUACCAGGGCAGUUGGCCACAAUUCUUACCGAUGGCGGAAUUUGCCUAUAAUAACAGCUAUCACGCAAGUAUUCAAAUGGCACCGUUUGAAG